AUGGCGUCGGCACAGUCCAGGUGUACUGCGGCGCUUGUUGGGCUGUACUCGUGCAUGAACUACAUCAGCGGCAACGACACGGCACCCACCAAGUCCUGCUGCUCGCAGCACGGGUCUGUCAUGCAGUCCCAGCCGCAGUGCCUCUGCAGCGCGCUCAGCGGUGCCUCCUCAUCGCUCGGUGGCAUGACCAUUAACAAGAAGCGCACAAUCGGUGGAAUUCAUGUCCCUUGUUUCUUGACGCGUAGCAUAAACAAUAUCACAAAUGGUGCAAGGAAAAUAUAUGUGAACAAACAUACACAAUCCAAGAACAAGUAA
rnacentral:rRNA from 1 species